GGUGAGAUGGCCGAGCGGUUAAGGCGACAGGUUAAGGUUUCAACCUUAGCACAAUUCCUGUUCACGAAAGUGGCGUGGGUUCGAGUCCCACUCUCAUCA